UACGUAGGGGGCUAGCGUUGUCCGGAAUCAUUGGGCGUAAAGAGCGUGUAGGCGGCCAGAUAAGUCCGCUGUGAAAACUCGAGGCUCAACUUCGAGCUGUCGGUGGAAACUAUUUGGCUAGAGUCCGGAAGAGGAGAGUGGAAUUCCUGGUGUAGCGGUGAAAUGCGCAGAUAUCAGGAAGAACACCCGUGGCGAAGGCGGCUCUCUGGUACGGAACUGACGCUGAGACGCGAAAGCGUGGGGAGCGAACAGG
rnacentral:rRNA from 1 species